rnacentral:rRNA from 1 species
UCUGGUUGAUCCUGCCAGUAGUCAUACGCUUGUCUCAAAGAUUAAGCCAUGCAUGUCUAAGUAUAAGCGCUUUAUACUGUGAAACUGCGAAUGGCUCAUUAUAUCAGUCAUAAUUUAUUUGAAAGUCCCUUACUACAUGGAUAACCGUAGUAAUUCUAGAGCUAAUACAUGCAUAAAAGCCCAACUGCUUCGGCGGACGGGUUGCAUUGAUUAGACCGAAACCAAUGCGUCUUCGGACGGUUUUGUGGUGAAUCAUAAUCACUUGCGGAUCGCACGCUUCGGCGGCGACGUUUCAUUCAAGUUUCUGCCCUAUCAGCUUUGGAUGGUAGGGUAUUUUCCUUCCAUGGCUUUAACGGGUACCGGGGAAUUGGGGUUCGAUUCCGGAGAGGGAGCCUGAG